UAAAGCGUGCGCAGGCGGUUGUGUAAGUCAGAUGUGAAAUCCCCGGGCUCAACCUGGGAAUUGCAUUUGAGACUGCACGGCUAGAGUGUGUCAGAGGGGGGUAGAAUUCCACGUGUAGCAGUGAAAUGCGUAGAUAUGUGGAGGAAUACCGAUGGCGAAGGCAGCCCCCUGGGAUAACACUGACGCUCAUGCACGAAAGCGUGGGGAGCAAACAGGAUUAGAUACCCUGU
rnacentral:rRNA from 1 species